rnacentral:lncRNA from 1 species
GUGGGAAGACAGAGUGAGACUAGCAUUAAAGAAUUGGGAAAGCUACGACAUCUACGGGGAGAACUUCAUAUUGGGAACCUUCAAAAUGUGGUGGAUGCACGGGAUGCAGCUGAGGCAAAUUUGAAAGGUAUAAAGCACCUUGAUAAGCUGAGGUUUACAUGGGAUGGUGACACUCAUGACCCGCAACACGUAACAAGCACACUUGAGAAAUUAGAGCCAGAUGGAAAUGUGAAGUAUCUUGAGAUUGAUGGUUAUGGAGGUCUAAGGUUUCCGGAGUGGGUAGGAAAGUCCUCUUUCUCAAGAAUAGUGUCCUUGGAGCUCAGUAGAUGUACAAACUGCACCUCCUUACCACCGCUCGGGCAAUUAGCUUCUUUAGUGCGUCUCUCCAUUGAAGGAUUCGAUAAAGUUGAGACCGUGGACUCUAAGUUCUAUGGGAAUUGUACUGCUAUGAAGAAGCCAUUUAAAUCCCUCAAAACAUUAUCUUUUAGAAGGAUGCCAGAGUGGCGCGAGUGGAUUUCAGACGAAGGCAGCCAGGAAGCCUUCCCUCUUCUUGAGUUUCUUUCAAUCAAAGAAUGCCCCAACCUUACAAAGGCCCUACCUGGUCACAACCUUCCACGUGUAACAGAACUUAGAAUUGAAGGAUGUAGGCAGCUCGCGACUCCACUUCCUAGGUUUCCUAGGUUGCACUCUCUCAAAGUUUUUGGAUCCACCUCCCUAGAGUCCCUACCCGAGGAAAUUGAUCAAAUGGGUUGUUCACCCUCUGAUUUAGGGAUUGAAAUCAGCUUCUGCGCUUCUCUCAAAUGCGUCGCCCUGGACUUGCUCCCCAAGUUAAAAUCUCUUCGUAUCUCUCACUGUCCAGAUCUCGAAUCACUAUGUGCACAUGAAAGACCUCUCAUUGAUCUCAACUCUCUCCAUUCUUUGAUAAUCUGCGGGUGCCUUAAAUUAGUUUCAUUUCCCAAAGGAGGGUUACCUGCUCCAGUCUUGACACAACUUUACUUAUAUGAUUGCAAAAACUUGAAGCAGUUGCCUGAGAGUAUGCCUUCCCUCCUCCCAUCCCUUAACCGUUUGGUAAUACAUGGUUGUUCAGAAGUUGAGUUGUGUCCAGAAGGGGGUUUUCCCUCCACAUUACAAUCACUUGAUAUCUGGAAUUGCAACAAACUCAUUGCUGGCCGCAUGCAAUGGGGCUUGCAAACGCUCCCUUCUCUUUCACACUUUACAAUUGGUGAAGACGAAAAUGUUGAAUCCUUCCCUGAAGAGAUGCUUCUGCCCUCAAGUCUUACAUCUCUUAAAAUCUAUAACCUAAAACACCUGAAAUCUCUUGACUAUAAGGGGCUUCAACACCUCACCUCUCUUAGAGAAUUGACUAUAAGUAACUGCCCUCUGAUUGAGUCAAUGCCAGAAGAAGGGUUGCCCUCCUCCCUUUCUUCUCUUGUAAUUAACGGUUGUCCUAUGCUGGGUGAAAGUUGUGAAAGGGAGAAAGGUAAAGAUUGGCCCUAGAUUUCUCACAUUCCUCAUAUUGAGGUACUUGCCUAAAUAGUUUAUUCUGUUUUCAGUAAUCAAAGGCAAUUUCAGUAAUACAAAUUUGGAUGAAUGAAAUACAGAUAUUGUCCUAGAAAGUUGUAUGUUUUUAUUUGUUGUAUGUUGAAAUACAGAUAUUUUCUUCCUCUUGUAAAUAAUAAUAAUCAUCAUUCUAUUUCAAUAUAUUUUUUGCUAUAAUUAAUGAUACUAUUGUUCCUCCAUCAAAUGCCGGCAAAUAAACAUCACAUGCUUCAGAUUUUGAACUGCCAGCGCCACCCUUAAAAGACAACGGGCCUAGCAGAGCUGAAAAGGACUAAAAAAUAUUUAAGUAAUCUGCAACAGAUUUUUCAUUGUUGAAAAAUUUAAGUUAAUCAAAAUUCUCUCCUUUUCUCUUUCUCUAAUCUAUUCCCCUUCUCCAAAAAUUCAAAAUUUAAGUAAUCAAAAUCAAAAUUCAAGUAAUCAAAAGGAUUGAAAUAAGUAAUUCAGGCAAAUUCAAAAUUUAAGUAAUCAAAAGGAUUAAAAUCUCCAUUCUCUCCUUUUCUCUUUCUCUAAUCUAUUCCCCUUCUCCAAAAAUUCAAAAUCCAAAAACUUUUGAUUUAUCUAUUUUGGAAUAGAUAUAAAAAGAAGAGAUAAUAUAAAAUUCAUCCAGAGAAAGUGGCCAAUGUCACUCAAGAGAAAGGAUUAAAGCACAGACAGUCAUCAGCUUGAGAACUCACAGCAAAGAGUUCAUUGUUUUGCAGUAGAUACGUAGCUAUAUUAACUACACUACUUCCAGCAUGCACAAAUGCGACUUCUUGAUGGUUACGCUGCUAAAGACAUUUACAAAUCCCCAUCAAUACUGGUGUUUAUUCCUCGUGAUGAUCCAGUGAGCUGACAAUAAAAGAAAACCUUGGCAUUACUAGUAAAUCGUCACUGCAAGCAUAAUGCAAGCAUGGAAGAGAUUCAGGUAGGAAUUACCCUUGUCUUCAUUGAGAGGCUUUAACCUCCCUAGCUCCUUCAUCAGCAGGCCCAUUGUUUGAUGCAUCCUCUGAAGCGUCUAAGCAAGGAUUGCUUUUACACUGCCUGACAGGCUGAGCAUUGGUCAAGAGACUAGAAAGUUGAGACCCCCUUUGCGAAAAGUUUGGUUUACCUUUCGGAGUCUCAGACAGGCUUCCCGUUGACAGCUUUGCUAGGCCCAUUGUCUUGUGCUCACACGGGAGCUUAGUUGAAAAAGGUGAUUCAGGUGUAUCAGGAUGCUUCCCAGGAAUAUCCAUCGGUCUAUGAAACAGCAAAUGAGCCACAGUCCGGUCUACGGGAUUGGUCUGUGUUUCCACCUCAGGCAUCUUAACCACCCUGCAGUAUACUCAUAAAAUCCAUGAGGAAAAUGACAGGAAAGUUUGAGAUUGCCAUACUCUAAACAAAUUGAUAAAGACUUGAUUAAUAAUUUUGUGCAAACAAAUUGAAUAAUUUGAAAUGGGAAGGACGAGAUGUAAAGGAACAAACCCAUUGGAACAAGAAACAAUCACAUUGUCGCUUACAACAAAAAAUCGAGUUUCAGAUCAAAAGAGCUUAUGGUUUUGGCUGGAAGUAUCCCAUUUAGACAUAGAUGAGCCGAUUAGAAGAUGAUUUGAGUUCUUAAAUUUUCUUGCUUAAAAUGUAAUGUAACAUGAAUCUGCAGAUGAUCAUUAAAUUUGAAGGGAAAUUUAAUAUUUUUGCCCUGUUUAUCUAAAGUUGUGCAAGUUCUCUGCAUUGAUGAUUUCAGUGAAUUUGUACAGAUCUUGUUUUCCUUCUAUUCGUCCUUGAAUAAACUUAUUGCACUUGUUUAACAUUCUUUGUCUCUCUCUCUUAGUUAAAUCUAGUAAAAUUUAUCAUGUAUGUUGUGCCACUCAUUUAGACUUGGAUGUGUGUGUUUAGCUCUCCUUUUCGGAUUAAGGUGAUUAUGCACAAAUUCACUGGAAUCAACAUUGCAGAAAACUUGCAUAGAUUUUGUUAAUAUUGGAAAAAUUAAAUUUAUUUCUAGAAUGAGAAUGGAAAACAGAAAAUGGUGAUGGCAUUAAAAGAUCCUAAUUUAACAUUUCCAUUGAGCAAAAAUGUUAAAAAAAAAGAGAGAGGAUAGAUUAAAUUUGAAAACAGAAGCAUGAGAAAUGCAUUGCCUUAACCAACCUUCUUUGACUGCUGGUUUUCUCUUUUGCAGCAACUUGUUCGUCCCUGCUACUAUUGUUUGUACUGCCAGUAUCACUAGCAUAAUGCCUUUGCAUUGCACUUUGAGCCAGCCGGAACAAGCUAUCCCGAAUACAAAGUCUAAUUCUGACAUCCAACUGUUGUAAAACAUUGGUUUGGAAUCGUAACCAAGCACAAAUUAUUUAGCAGGGAAUGCAAUAGUACGUGAAGCAUACCUUUGAAAUAAUAUCUUGAAGCCUGUAGAGUACUGUGUCCUCCAUUGAAUAAUCAUUAACCGCCAGAGAGACUGUAUUGGAAUCGUCUUGCUCAAUAGGCGAGUUUGGGUCAAAUGAAGCAAGUGUACUUAGAUCCUCUACUUCAAGGUCAGCUCCUUCAACAUGCUGAAUUUGAUUUUCUUGGGAACACUUUUGAUGAACAAGCUGCUGCUGCUGUUUCUGAAUGGCAAGCAUCGCCUGAAUUUGUUGCCGCCUCCUUAAUUUUUCAAUCUUUUCCUGAGGUGUCAUUCUCUGGGGUUUCACUGGACAGUCAGCUAACUUGUUUAUAGGAUUUGCAUUGCCUGAAGAAACUUCAUAACCAGAAAUUUUAGGUCGAUGAUUAAAUGACUAGAAAUUUUGUUGGAAAGUCAGAAAACUUUAACAGGAUUCACAUUACCUGAAGAAACUUCAUAACCAGAAGCUAAAGGUUGAUGCUUAAAAUCCCCAGACUGAAUGUGGGACAACCCAGGCAUAGAAUAUGGAUUUGUAAUACUCCCGUAUGCAGAAGGGGCCACAAAUGGAAUGGAAAUCUGCUGGUACUGCAACUGCUCGGAACCCUGUAGCUGCUUCUGUUGGCUGAGAAUUGAAGGGGGAGAAGAUUGCAUAAUUUGGGGUGCUAAAUGAUCCUUAAGUUGACAGGCUGGGAUUCCAGAUGAAGUCCAGUUUCCAUAAAAAUCUUGGUAUGAUUUCAGUUCACCUUUUUCUUCCAGUUUUUCCCGACCUUUCAAGAUCUUCUUUUGCCUGUAAGUCUGAUCACAGAACUAUAAACAUAUAAAUAGACAAAUUACUUAGAAUAGAUCAUCGUUUUAACCAUCUAGACCUGCAGGGGAGUGACUAAGGCACAGUUAGUAUUUUAAUUCAGUACAUGGUUUGUAAGGAUAAAUUCAAUGUUAUUUUUUUUUUUUUAACUGUAACUUAUGAUCCAAAGGGCUUCUAUUGUUCAGAAUAUAUUGAGGUAUUAGCUAAUCUAUGCCAAGCAAACAGAAUUUGCAUGUCCAGGAUAACUUAACUGAUGUCUCCUGAAUUUUCACAUGUUAUUCCUUUCUCCUUCCUACAAUGGAUUUACUUCAGGCAAUCGAUAUCAUGGUUAAGUAAUGGAUUUGACAUCCAGGAUAACUUAAUUGAUGCAUUAUUGAAGUCAUGACUAAAUCAUGUAAAUCCAUAUUCACCCAACAUCCAAGUUUAUUCUCAUUCCAAAAAAUAAAACUAAAAAUAAUAGCAAGAAAUAUGAAGAGACGAAGAGGAAUUUAAAUAAUAUAAUUUCUCUUUUCUGUCGCCAUUUUCCAUUCCAGAGAAGUACUCAGGAAGUUUUCACAAGUUCAAGUGUAAGGUAACUUUUACCCUUCCCAGCUCUAAUUAGGUUUCGCUGUCCCUCCAGUCUAAUUUAAGAUCUAACAUGUGGAAACCACACUGUAUUAGUGAAAGGAUUAUAAUAUCAAGAUUUUCCAAUUUCAAUUCACUGAUAUAACUUUUCUUGAAUCCUGGACAAAAGAACUUAGAACAUCAAAAGAUCAUAGCAGGAUUCUAAGAAACAAAGAUUGUAUUUGGUGCUUAUUGAGUCUAAAAGUUAUCCUGGAUGAAAAGGGUAAAAAUCAGUAACAUGUCUGGUUCAGUAUCAAGAUUUUGAAAAUAUCAAAAGGAAGAAAAAAAAAAGGUAACUUAUUCGCUAAUUCAUUUGGAAAAGCACCAUUUUCCUCUGUCAGUUGAGAGUUAGCCGCCGUGUUCUUUCCCACAACAGCCAAAUCUGUCUGCAAAAGCACAAAAAAAAAUUUAAAAAAAAAUGCUAAGCUUCUCUCAGCUCCAGCACUUGAGCAUGGGGCAUUAAUAAGUGAACUCAUUACUGAAAAUUGAGUCGCUAUACCUGCUCCUUCAGUAUAGGCUUGUUUUUACCUUCAUCAUAUUGCACCGCAUCAACUGACCCACAAAUAAAUUUGCAUUUUUCCAUCAGUUCCAAGCUACUUUGUAAGGAAAAGGGAGGGAAGUGCCUUCAAAGAUACCUUCUUCAUAGCUUCUUUAGAUAUGAAUCCACACGACUUUCGUAAUCACCAAUCACUAUGCGCAGCUUCUCUUAUCAUCACAAGUUCCCAAGAAAAAUUAUAUUCUUCCCUCCUCCAGCCCUUUCCCUACAUAUUUCCACCAGCUUCAUAGCAAUGCGGCCCGUGAAAACGACUCCCAAAUUAAAACACUUGAGAAGCUCUAAUAGUUUUCCACAAAGACCUACUUUUCUUAUUAUUUCUUCCUCGUCACAACCACUCACUUUCCCCUAAAUCCCAUACCACAACCACUCCUUAAUCUUCAACUAAAUCGAUAUCUCUUAUCACUUAUGAAAACUCCAUCUAAUUUCCAAAUGAAUCACACCAUUUGAACACUUUGCCAAUUCCUAAUUCCUUCAAAAUUUUCAUCCAUUAAAAAAAAAACUGCAAGUCAUACUUUUUCACUUUAACACAGUUGUCCUUAUAAUCAAUCUUCCAAUAUAACCAUACUCUUGCCUCUAAAUCUGGCACGCAAAGCUUCUACAUAACCUUCCAACGUUACUUCUUGCCUCCCAAACUCCUCAAAGUUCUGGUGCCAAUAUAAUGCUAUUCCAUCAAGGGAGUUUUUCAGAAUCUCCAAUCUUUUCAAGAUCAAAAUGUUGAUUGCAUCUAUACAACCACUUACGGGCAUCUUCCCCAUCAAAGCUGGGAAAGUCACAUAUGGGUUUGUGCAUCCUAAACUGAGAGUGCUCACCUUCACUAGGUAGUCAAGUUAUUGCAACUAAAGAGUUGUUUGUUUGUCUCGGGUAGUAUUAGCCUCCCCUGUGGAAAGUUGUAGUGUUUGAAGAAGGGAUGUUUGUUGAUAAGCUAUUCCACUAAUGAGACCCUUGAGUUCAUUAAACUUAGCUUCAUGGUUGCUUUUUGCGGUCACCAGUUUGUGAUUGUAACUCCAACAUUUUCAUCAUUUGUUCAUAAUCUUAUGCUUGAUCCUUGCUGACAGCUUCAAGGGAGCUCUCCAGCUUUUUGAUGUCUUGAGAUCUAGUGUCAGGAGCCAUAUUCCAAAGCUACAAUGGAGUCUACUAAUCAGAGGAAUCAAUAAACUCGCAGUUGAUGAAUAACAGAAGAAGAGAGAGAAGGACAUAAAUUGGUUAAGCCGAUAUUUUUCAUUCUUCUAUUUUCACGCUGGCAUUCUGUUACCAAUACUAACUGAAAGAGCGGCUAAUAACAACUUCCAUUUAUACCUUCGCAAUGUUUGUUUACCGGAAAUUCAUUCCAAAUUUUUUUAUGUUUGUUUAUUAUUAAAAAAAGUUAAUCAACAAAAAAAUUCUGGUUGUUUAUCGUUAGAAAAUUUCAACAACUUCCAAUUAUCAAGCAAUAGCCAACACGUGCCAGGAGUCUCAGCUAAAUAAUUGAAACACCAAUCUGGCCUUUUGGUGUUGCACGGUGCUGCUGCUUCUUGGCUCUUGAUUUCAUAGAAAUGCUGCUCCCUCAUCCCUGGUGUUACACAGGCAGCUGCUGGCUCCUCUUGUAUCUUUUGGGUUUUGGCUUAGUUUGGUUCCCGCCGUUGUUUGUUCUCCGGUCGUCGAAGCUUGCUGCAAUCAUCCGACUCUGUUCUCAUAGUCAGAUGCUUCCUCGGUUUUCUCCUGGCAUUAAAAUUACAGCUGACCCUCAAAUCUUAUUGCCUCUGGUCAUUUUCUUGAAUGGUGCUUGGUGUUGUCUUCUAGUGUUUGCAGUAUCGUAAUUUGCUGGAGUUUUUGUAGUAUUUGAAUUGUGGGUGAUUGAGCUGCAGAAUUAGAGGGAAUUGAAUCCGUGCUAUGGGUUAUCAUGUGAUAUCAUCAUUCAUCAACAAUUAAUUGAAUGGGUUUCUACAUUAAAUAUUUUUAGUUUCUUAAUCAAUAAUUUGAAGUUUUUAAUUGGACGUGAAAUUAUUCUUAGAGAAUAAUAUAAUUAAACUAAAUCUUGGUUAAUUGAUUGCUAGCAAAGGUGUAAAUUUACAUGGCUUGAAAAUGAAGCUUAUCUUCUACUUAAUUUUAUCAAAUAAUAUAAUUUUGAAAUAAAUUAUUUAUAGAGUAGUUUUGAGUGAUAUAAAUCAAAUAGGAAUUAAAUCAUGUUAAAACAUUUAAUUUUGUUGUCCCUUCAUAUAUUACUAACAGCAACAUUACGUAUCCUAACGCUUUAUAAAUUCCAAACCACUCAUUUGAAACUAACGCUUUGUAUUAUUUUUAUAAAAUAAAAUAAAUCCUAACACUGAUGUGGACUAAAAUGUUUUUCAUAUAAAAUAUGAGGAUAAAAAAACUUUCAUGAACAUUUAUGAAAACCUAUUUUUAUCUAAGUGGGCUAGGAAUCCGUAUGCAUGUAUGAAAAUGAGUUCGGGCUUAGGGUGAUAGAUAUGGGUCAGUAAAAUGAAUUAUAUUUUAAUAAAUUUUAUCUAUAUAUAUUUUCUAAUCCAAGUAAAAUGAAUUAUAUUAUUUGUUUAAAAUAAAGUUAAUCUCAAAUAAAAAUUUUACUUUCUAAAAUAAAAUAUGAAUUAUAUUAUUUUAAAAAUUUGCUUGAGUUACUUUAGGUUUUAUGGCAGCCCAAUAACGAUACUCUUAACAGAAUACUGAGUUAUUGGGCCUAAAAGGCUAAAAGGUCCUGCGUCAGGAUUUAAUUUUCAUGGGUCCUUUGUUAAGAUUUAGGACUAUUGGAUCUUGGGUUUCUAAAUAUAAUAAUUUCUCUAAAAGUAUUAAUAUUAAAUAUAUUAUAAUUUGUGUUCUAAAUAUUAUUAGUUCAAUUGUAAUAAAAAAGAUAAUAUUUAUACUCCAAAUAAUAAUAUUGUUGAUAUUAGAACUUUGAAUUAUAAUAAAAAUCAUAAUAUUCAAAACAUAAAUAAUACUAUUUUUCAUAUUAAUACUUUCAAUUAUAACAAUAAAAAAAAUAUUUAUACCGCAAAUAAUAAUAAUAUUUAAACCGCAAAUAAUAUUGUUUUUAGUAUUAAUACUUUCAAUGAUAAUAAAAAUAAUAAUCUUUGUACUACAAAUAAUAAUAUUUUUGAUAUUAAUGCUUUGAACUACGGUAAAAAUAAAUAUUAAUAUUUUCAAUUAUAAUUAAAAUAAAAAUAUUUGUACUGCAAAUAAUAAUAUUUAUACCACAAAUAAUAAUAUUUUUCAUAUUAAAGAUUUAAACUAUAAUAGAAAUAUUAAUAUUUAUAACACAAAUAAUACUAUUUUUAAUAUUAAUAUCUUCAAUUAUGAUAAAAAUAAUAAUAUUUAAGGCGAGGCUAUUGCCCUCGCACUGGGUCAGGCCCGAGAACCACGUGGUGUUGGUGUUGGUGAUGGCUUGCCCUUGUCCUGGGUGGGAGCCAGGCCCGCGCCCCCAUGUGGGACACAUGGCGCGUGGACUAGCUGCCCUUGUGCUAGGUCAGGCUAGCGCGCCACGUGGCGCUGCGGCCGGCUUGCCCUUCUCACAGGGCUAAUGGGUCCUACAUUUGGACCUAAUUUUCUUAAUUCUUUGUCAAGACCUGAGGCUAUUGGGUUUUAGGUUUCUAAAUAUAAUUAUUUUCCUUAUAAAUAUUAUUAUUUUUAUUAUAGUUGAAAGUAUUAAUAUCAAACAUAUUAUAAUUUGUGUUCUAAAUAUUAUUUGUUCAAUUCUAAUAAAAAUGAUAAUAUUUAUACCCAAAAUAAUAAUAUUGUUGAUAUUAAUACUAUGAAGUAUAAUAUAAAUCAUAAUAUUCAGAACACAAAUAAUACUAUUUUUAAUAUUAAUACUUUCAAUUAUAACAAUAAAAAAAGAUUUAUACAGCAAAUAAUAAUAAUAUUUAAACCGCAAAUAAUAUUGUUUUUAGUAUUAAUACUUUCAAUGAUAAUAAAAAUAAUAAUAUUUAUAGCACAAAUAAUAAUAUUUUUUAUAUUAAUACUUUGAACUACAAUAAAAAUAAAUAUCAAUACUUUUGAUUAUAAUAAAAAUAAAAAUAUCUAUACUGCACAUAAUAAUAUUUUUACUACAAAAUAAUAAUAUUUUUUAUAUUCAUGCUUUAAAAUAUAGUAGAAAUAUUAAAAUUUAUAACACAAAUAAUAGUAUUUUAAUAUUAACAAAUAAUAAUAUUUAUGGUGCUUGGGUUUACCCUUGCACUGGGUCAGACCCUGAACUGAGAGACUUCAACCACCAAUCAAAUUAGAAUAGUAGAAAUAUUCAUGCUUUGAAAUAUAGUAGAAAUGUUAGAAUUUCUGUGCCGUUGCAUUUCAUGCCAGCUAUGUUGUUGACACUGGACUGAGAGACUUCAACCACCAAUCAAAUUAUUCUUAUUGACUUUUUGUGCGGUUUUGCCGUCAAAGUUCAGAAACCUUGGCUAUUAGAAUAGUCAAAGUGUUUAUUUUUGUAUUUUAAACGUGUCGAGACCUGGCGUGUGAGCUGUUCUACUUGUGCGCCCGUGUCAGCACCCAAUGACAAUGGAUCGGGUGUAAGGAUUGAAUGGCAAUGGGUCUGCUUGUAGAUCCAAUUCGCUUUAAUCCUUGCCGGAUCUAAAUAAUUUAUGUUUUAAAUAUUUUUUAUUUUUUAUUUUUAAUAUAAUAAUAUAUGUUAUAAAUAUUAUUAUUUUUUUAUAAUUUAAAAUAUUAAUAUAAAAAUGUUAUUAUUUAUGUUAUAAAUAAUAUUAUUUUUAUUAUAACUCAAAUUAUUAAUAUAAAAAAUAUUAUUAUUUCUGUUAUAAUCAUCCUCAGAAUUUUUAAUAUAAUUAGAUAUGUUAUACAUAUUAUUAUUUUGAUUAUAAUUAAUAAAAAAUUAAUAAAUUAAAAAAAUAUUAAAAAAUAUUAUUUUUUGUAUUAUAAAUUUUUACAAUAUUUUUUAUAAAAAUAAAAAAUAAACCCACCACCACGUAGCAGGCAUCCACCUAGUUGGGUGCAACUGUGCAAUUGCCUUGUAAAAUUGCCUUAUUCAGUAGUAUUUGUAAUUUGGUGUAGAGCUGGUAUCAUUCUUUGAAAUCAUAGUUAUUACGUCAUUGAGUUAACUCGUGUGUUAAUUAUAGGAUCAAUCAUUUUACUUCAUUUUUUUCUUUAAAAAGAACAAAAUUUUCACAAACAGAUAAUCCUAUUGCAUCUUAAACUUCAAGUUUCCAGCAACUAAACAAUAUCUACAUUCAAUUAGAACUUGUGGUACAAUUACCUGACAGCGAAAUAAAAAAGGAGGAGGAGGAACCCCCCUGGAUCUAUUACCGGACAUAAUAAUAAUCAUCAUUCUAUUUCAAUAUCUUUUUUUGCUAUAAUUAAUUUUUAAAGUUGAUUUGAUUAGUAUUGUACUUUUCUCAUUCUAACAUUCAAAUCCUACUAUUGUUCCUCUAUCCUGUUCUGCUGCAAAUAAACAUCACAAGAUCCUUGUCUUCGAUCUAGGAAUUGCUGGUUCUACUAUCUUGUUCUGCUGGAGGAUCAUCACGUGCUUCAGAUUUUGAAUUUAGUAAUAGAAAAUCCAUUGCUAAAAAGGAUUAAAAAAAUAUUAAAUUAUUUAAGUGAUCUGCAACGGAUUUUUCAUUGUUGACGCGGCAACAUCAAAUCUGCAACUGAUUCAAAAAAUAAAUUAAACCCUUAAUUAUAUAAAAUCUCCAUCCUCUCCUUUUCUCUUUUUCUGCAUCUUCAAAAAUUCAAAUUUUUUUCUCCAUCUCUUUCUCUAGUCUAUUCACCGCCUUCAAAAAUUCAAAAUCCAAAAACUUUUUCAUAUUAAGUAUGAAUUUUUUAUAUCAAAAUCUAACUCAAUCAGGUUUCAAGUAUUCAUGAACGACUCCAAACAAUUUUGAUAUCAAGAACAAACCAACAUCAAAUCAGAACAAAUUGUUCAUAACCGAGAAAAGUAAAGCCCAGAACAAAGAAGAAAAUAUAAAAAACCGUUGGUUCCCUGAUGUGCUCCAGUUUCCGGCUUCCAUCAACGGUUUUCUUGUGUUUCACAAAAGAGGUUACUAUCUUGGGUAACGUCCAAAUUCCAUCUAUGGAAUGAUGCAGCCAAAACUUGGCAAAUUCUCGUAAUCGUUGUUCUCUGUAAUCUGUAAAGAAGCUAUCAAUAGCUAUGGCCAUAAACGGUGUAGGAGUUCUAAAUCCUAGCACCCACCCAGCAUUGUUUUGAAGAAGUAUAUCUUCUUUGCCUGUUCUUUACCCUUUUUUAUGUAUGUAAUACGUAUAUACAAGCAUUCAGAUUGCUUUGAUUUUUUUGUUAGGAAAGUAUUAUGUAAACUAGAUUCAUAAUUUCUAAUUUGUAAGAGAAUAUAUGAUCUUAUUUAAAUACAUUAAAAAAUUAAUUUCUUCAUUUCUCUUAAUUUUUAAGAAAAUCUUUCUUCUCUUAUAAUUAUAGUUAUUGUUUUUUUAAAUCUAAAAUCAAUGUCAUGGUUAAAUAGAAUGGUAUGUUGUCCUUAUUUUUAUUAAAUUAAAUUAAAAAAAAAAACUAAAUUUCUUAAAGAAAUUGCUGUUUACCAUGACCAUGAUAAAGUUGUUCUUUAACCAUUAAACCUUUUAAACCUCUAUGAUUUUUUAAUUUACAAAUUGUUUUCAAAUUAAGGAAAUUCUUAAGAAAAUCUAUCAUAUUAUAUAUUUUUUUAAUUUCACCCCUAUAAUUUUUUUAAUCUUUUAAAUUUAAUUUUUAUUAUUUUUAAUUACUAUUUGUUUUUACAGUUUCAUCUUUCUUGGAUUUUUUUUGCCUAUGAAAUUAUAUCCUUAUUUUUUUAUUGUUAUAUUUUUUGUUUUUGCAAGUCAUCCGAGUUUACUUGAUUUUUUUUCUUUUUUAAGCUGAUGUUUUUUUUUUUUUAGUUUUGUUUUGUUAUUUUUACUUUAUAGAGUUAGCUCUAAGUUACCAGAUUUAAAAUUAUUUUUUUAUAGUUUCACCUUUAAUAUUGAAUUAUUUGAUAAUACAGGGGGUACAGUUCUAGGGUUUUUUUAAUUUUUUUAAUUCUCAUUGUUUUAGUUAAUUUAUUGUAGUUGUAUUUUUUAUAUAUAUUUUGAACCAAUUAGUUGUAUCUCAAAUUUUUUAUUAUGUAAUAUUAUUUUUUUAAGUUAAAAAAAUACUUCCUCUCGCAGUGGAGCACGGACAAAUGUUCCAGGGUACAUUUUAUAAGAUAUGAUCCCAGGAUACGAUGUAGAUCUUGUUAAGUAGGUUGUGGAACUUGCAGGUUCAAAUGGUUUGAAGAUUCUGAAGACAUUAUUUAUCCAGAUUUCAAAGAAGAUAACAUAAUGGUUUUGGUGAAUUGUGCUCGAACUCUUUGCAUUUCAGGAUCCUCUACUGGUCGAUACAGGCCUUGACACGUCCUGGAUGACUGGAUGCUGCCGGAUGUGACCUGAACCAUAGCUUGAUGCCACCGACCUUUCUGUGGCUCCUGGCUCCAUGUUCCUUAUUCAAACCAUUCAUAAAGGUAUCUUAAAUAGUGCAGCCUGAGCUUUACCGGUUACGCUUUUUUUUAGGAAGAUUAUUGUUAAAUUAUUAUUUUUUUAAAUAUAUUAAAAUAAUUUUAUAUUUUUUAUAAUUUUUAAUAUUAACACAUUAAAAUUAUCAAAAAUAUUAAAAAAUCAAUAAUUUAAUAUAUUUUCAAAUAAAAUAUAUUUUAAAAAAACAUACAUUACCACUAUUCUCUCAAACAAAUAAUCCUAUUGCAUCUUAAAUUCCAACAAUGAGUACCCCGAUCAAACAAUAUUUACAUUCAAUUAAAACUUAUGGUAUAAAAUUACCUGACAGCGAAAUAAAGAAAAAGGAGGAACCCUGUAUCUAGGAAAUUUCUAUUAGGCCUACAAUCCGAGGCUGUAACUGGAUCUACACUGAAGAAAUUUCGUGGGAAAUGGGUUGGGAGAAAUUUCUGUGCUGAUGCCAGCUAUGUUGUUGACACUGGACAGAGAGACUUCUUCAACCACCAAUCAAAUUUGCUUGUAAUGUGAGGGAGUGUGGGAUACAAUUGGUUGCAGGCAAACACAAGUAAAUUUGUACAGAUCUUGUUUUCUUUCUAUUUGUCCUUGAAUAAACUUAUUGCACUUGUUAUCCCACUUUUUCGACGAUGGGAUCUCUUGGCAAAUAAAGCGAGGACAAACCGAGUAAAAUGUGGGACCUAACUCCAUUUUCCUGGAACACGCAACUCACGCAUACACUAACUCCCGCCCUUUUCCUCGCUGGAUCCUUGAUAUCUUCAAGGGGUGCAAGCGCCUUGUUCGAGGAUUGAGCAUAAAAGACUAAAAGAGUUAAAGAAAUACUAAAAGACAUAAAGUGAAGUUUUUUAUAAUAUUCAUAGCAAUGUUCAUCAGCUAAUUUAUAAUUUAUAAUUUAUAAUUUAUUUAUCUGCUAAUUAUCAAUGAAUGAAAAGUGAUAAAAGAAAAGGAGAAAAGGAGAGAAGAAAUAAAGUGAAGUUUUCUUCCGCAUUAUUAGCACAUCACGUGAAAAGAAAGAUUGGCAUCUACUAAAAGCAAUCCCAAUCAAACCCAUUUUUUCGACGAUGGGAUCUCUUGGCAAAUAAAGCAAAGGACAAACCGAGUCAAAUGGAGUCCACAGCAUAACAAGGGUCGAGAGAGAAAAGGCUUUUGCGAGUUCUGUGUUCUGUAUACUUCUCAAGGGGAAAAAAUAAUGUUUUGUUAGGGAUUUGUUUUUGAUAGAAUUGUUAGAGAUCUUAGCCGAUGCAUCUGGAUUAUAAUUUUUAGCAUUUAUACUAUUUUAUAGCGCUAAUAUCUUAAAAAACUUAUUUUCUAGCUUUUUUUAUGGUAUGAUGAAAUAUUAAAAAAUAUUUUUCAACUCAUUAUCCUUAAUACAAUUAAAUUUCAUAGAAUAGUCUAUUUUUUAGAAAUAUAGUUUACUAUAAGAUUUAUUUGAUAAAAGAAAUUCACUUUGUAACAAUGCACUAGAAACUAAAAAAAAAGAAGCUAAUGAUCAUUUAAAAAUAUAGUAUAUUGGAAUCAUCUUGCUCAAUAGGUGAGUUCGGGAGUUUGGUUGCUUAACAGGUGAGUGAAGGUUAAAUGUACCCAAUUAAAUAAUAUCUAUAUUCAAUUAAAACUUAUGGUAUAAUUACUUGACAGCGAAAUAAAGAAAAGUAGGAACCCUGUAAUAUCUAGGACAUUUCUAUGCUCUUUAAAUUAGGCGUCCAAACUGAGGCUAUAAUGAGCCCUGAAUCUACACGGAAGAAAUUUCAUGGGAAAUGUAAUUUCAGAAGACCAUGACUCAAAUCAGCGGCUGAAAUCCAAUCACUCAAGGGAUGGUGACACGUUGCCUUAUGUGGGAGACAGCUGGUCUCCAGUACGAAGAGAGACAACAAUAUUUUUUUUAUUAAAAGCGAGUGUACGAACUUCCACGUAUUUUAAUUUAUUUUAUUAAUUUUAAAUUUAAUAAUUAUAUAAAUUUUUAGUAAUUCUAAAAAAAUUUAAAUUCAUAACUAUUAAAAUACAAAUAUAAAACUUAAUCAAUUAGGUGACUCCACAAUAGUAUUUUCAUUAAAUAGAGUGUUUAUUUUUCUCAGUGUCUUUGUUCUCGUGACAGCUCAUGAUGAUGGGGGCUUAAAAAAAAUUAAAGAGAUUAUUUUCACUUGUGAUUUAUUUGAUUUAAAUAAGUAUUUAAUUAAAAUUAUAAUUAAAAAUGUUGUUUAAUAAAAAAAUAUUUUAAAAAUAUUUAAUUAAAAUUAUAAUUAAAGAUAUAUUGUAACUAAAAUUACUAUAAAAAAAAAGAUCCUAGUGAAGGUGGAGAGGAUGAGAAUAAUGAUUGGAUAUCUUAAUAAUUGUAAAAAGAAAGUAUCUUUUUAUGGUGAAGUUAUCGGUAAAUGAGAAAAUACUGAGUUUUGUAGCUCAGAAAAAAAACGUCAUUCAACUAAUAAAAUGAUCCAUCUACAUAAAAAAAAAAAAACAUCAUUCCCAGGUGUGGAAGAUAAAAUUAAUCAACAUAAUCUUAUUGGAUUGCAUUUUAUUAUUCAUAUCAAACAAUCAGUAUCCUUAAUAGUGAUUUUUGGAUAUUUUUAUUUUUGCAACUCAACUAUACUUUUUAAUAUAAUAAUUUUUUUACCUAAUUUUUUAUUAUUAUUAUUUCAGUAUCAUUUUGUUAUUUCUAACCGUUUGCAUUUAUGAGGUUAGUCCUGAAUUCAUGAAUUAUCGAUUUUUAAAAUUAAUGUAAGUUGAUUUUUAUUAUUUUUUAUUUUUUUAUUUUUUUAAAUUAAUUUAUUUAAAUUUUAUCAUUUAAUUUUUUUUUUCAAGAUUUCUUUUUAAGAGACUAACCCUUCAUUGACAAGCACUAAUGUACUCUGAAAAACAUAAUCUCAUUGCAUCUGACGCUUUAAAUUCCAACAAGGAGUACCUUCACAACGAAAUAAAGAAAAGUAGGAACCCUGCAUCUGGGAAAUUUUUAUGAGGCUCCAAUCUGAGGCUCUAACGAGCCCUGAAUCUACACACAAGAAAUUUCGUGAGAAAUGGGUUGAUGUCAGAGGGAGAUCAGGAAGCGUACUUUCAGAAGACCAUGACACAAAUCAACGGCUGAAAUCCAAUCACUCAAGGGAUGGUGACAUGUUGCCAUGAGUGGGAAACAGCUGGUCUCCAUCUGAAUGUUUAAAGAUGAUUGGGUAUCUUAGUAAUUGUAAAAACAAUUGAUUUUUUUUUUUGAUGAAGUUGUCGGUGUGGAUGAGAAAAUACUGAGUUUGUAGCUUAGUAAAAACAUGUUGAUGUUACUUUUUAUUAGCUCAUGGUUGGCCCGUAAAUUGUAAUGGGUCCCACAAUCACAAACCUAUGAUUCACAUGUAAUUUAUGUUUUAUAUAUUUUUUUAAAAUUAUUAUUUUUAUAUUUUUAUACCAUUUUCAUUUUAAAAAUUUUAAAUUUAAAAAAUAUUAUUUUAAUAUAUUUUUAAAUAAAAAAUACUUUAAAAAACAAUAAUAUCAAUCAAUGUUUUAUAAAUUCUUUACAAUCGCUUUUACAUUUUUUUAGAUCACAUCUAAGAAUGAGGGACACCACAAUAAAGUCCGUUGUUGCUACAUGAUUAAAGGUAAUUGUCUUGCAUUUACCUUUAAAACUGCUAUCAAGAAUUAAUUAAUUGCGUCAAUUCAAUUCUUUCUAUUGACAUUGAUACCAAACAUGUUAAUUCAUGAUAUAAUUAAGCAAUUCAAUACAAAUUUACUAAUAUAAUUUAUUUCGGCUUAAACCUUUGAAUAUAGCCAAACUCAGAGGUUAUGCAAGUGAAAUACCUUAAUAAUUAAAUUAAAAAAAGAAAACAAAAUAUAAUGUAUAAAAUAUAAUAAUACAAUGUAUAAUUUAUAAUUUAUUUAUUUGCUUUAUCAAUGAAAAGUGAUGGUAGGAGGGAGAGAGAGAGAGGAAAUAAAGUGAAGUCUUCUGCUGCCUGAUCACAUCACGUGAAGAGCUUGGCAUUUAGUGAAGUUUUUCCGAUCAAACCCACUUUUUUCAAAGAUGGAAUUUCUUGGAAAAUAAAUCAAACACAAACCGAGUAAAAUGGAGUCCAGAGCAUAACAAGAGCCGAGAUUGAAACAGGAAAUGCAGGAAAAAGAAGAUGGGCCCUUGUUUUCUCUUUUUAUGGCCGGCGACCGGAUAUAUAAAAGGGAGGAGAUGAAGCUUUCAAAUUAUUUACAAUUUUGCGGUCACUUAUUGUGUCCAUGUCAUUUUGUGUAAUCGCCCAGCUACCGGUACUAUUUUAACACUGUUAAAAGUCUAAAUAAUCAACAUUUCCCCAAUUUAUCUCUAAAAAAAAUUCACUUCAAUUAAUAGCAACUUUUUUUUAUUUCUUAUGUCAAUGUUUACCUCUUUUUGAUAAACUCGUAUGUUUUUGUACCAGAGGUCUCAAAUUAUUCUGUCCAGUUAUUGCUUAUUUAAAUUCAUUAAAAUGUUUUAAAUAACUUUUUUAAAUUUUAAUCCCAGAGUUUACAUACAUAAUACAUGAGUUAUAUACAUUAUGAUUCAAAAUAUUGUUAUAACUAAAUUUAAAAAAAAUACAAAUGAUCAAACCAUUGAUGCUGGUGAUGCUCUCGUCUCCAGAAUGGUCCGCUUGUACUUGGCUGAUGGAGCUGAGGGAAAGCCAUUGGCUGCAGAGUGCGCACUGUGAUUUUCGCGAAAUGAAUUAGGGCAGGGAGCUUUUUAGAAGCAAAUUUUGUUCUCCGUCAUUUUGUAAAUUCUCGCAGCUGCUUGUUAGACGCCAUAAAUAGUCUAAGCUUGUUGUUGAGAUUUUUUAUUUUCUGUAUAUGAAUUUAGAGUUAAUUUCUUGAAUAUUAAGUUUUCUGAUUUUUCUAUAUAAUUAAUUUUUUAAGUUGAUUUGAUUAGUAUUAUUGUACUCUUCUCAUUCUCAAUAAAAAAAAAAAGAAAAAAAAACCAGAAGAGUAUUUUCUUUCUAUUGAAAACAUUUGUGGUUAGAACAAAGUAAUUUUCACUGGAGUGUCGUUUUGGGAUGCAACAUGAACUUUACCUGUCUAAUUUGUACGGCAUGAGAAGAUGUUGCUUUCCAUGGCUUCCCCCUUAAAAAAAUUCCAUCACAUUUGAGAAUUUUGAUAUAAAAAAGAUAUAUCUCUUUUAAAGAAGAGAAGUGAUACCUAAAAUUUAUAAAUGAUCUAAACUCUUAAUUUUUAAUCGAUGUAAAAUGUUAGAGUAUCAUGUUCCUGAAAAAAUCUUUUUAAGUGUAUAAUAUGUUGCAUUGAUAGGUUUGAAUGUUUUUAUUACUGAAAUGCUUUUGAGAAGCGGCGUGCGUGCGGCUCCUUUGCAGGCCAAAAACCGCCCUCUACCUUGUUGUUUGGAGAGGAGCAUUAAGAGCUGGGGGUGGUGGUGGGGGCACAAGUCAGUUUUUUUUUUGUUAUUGUUGUAUUUUUUAAUUUAUAUUAUUAAAAUUAUAUAAAUUUAUUAAACUCAUUCGAAUAAAUAAAAUAUGUGUCUGAAUUGUUUUUUCUUUGAAAAUGCUUAUGUCUCCUUAACUUACUUUAUUUUACAAUAGAAAAAUGUAGGCCGGCUCGCGGGACCUUAUCUAGUAAUACAUAAGACCAGUAUCAUUUUUAGGCUUAAAUUUUGAUUAAAGAGAACAUUAACAUGUUUAGUAGUAGUGCAUACUGUUUAUUUUUGCGUUUCAAAAAUAUUCUUGAAAAAAAUUAAAAUAUAUUUUUUAUUUUUUUGCUUUAAAUUAAUAUUUUUUGUGUUUUCAAAUCAUUUUGAUGUGAUGAUGUCAAAAAUAAUUUUUAAAAAAUAAAAAAAAUAUUAUUUUAAUAUAUUUCCGAGUAAAAAAUACUUUAAAAAUUAACCACAAUCAUUAAAAAAAAAAAAAAAAAAAGAAGAAGCAAGAGCAGCAAGUUGGAAGCGCUUAUCUUGCUCCCAAAUCUUCUACAUAACCUUUCAAUAUAAUGCUAUUCCACCAAGGGAGUUUUUCAGAAUCUCCAAUCUUUUCAGGAUAAAAACAUCGAUUACAUCUAUACAAUCAUUUAUGGGCAUCUUCCCCAUCAAAGCUGGGAAAGUCACAUAUGGGUUUGUGCAUCCUAAACUGAGAGUGUCACAGGCUUAGACGCAAAGGCACGUNNNNNNNNNNNNNNNNNNNNNNNNNNNNNNNNNNNNNNNNNNNNNNNNNNNNNNNNNNNNNNNNNNNNNNNNNNNNNNNNNNNNNNNNNNNNNNNNNNNNGCAGACCAAGAAAGUUACUUGUGGGCAGUUACGAAGCAGUUACGAGGAAGUUGGUUUUCUUUAAAAUGUGCUGUCUAGAGUUAAUGAAUCUGUCAAAGUGCAUUUUUAUUUGUAACUUCCAUUGUAUGUAGGUGUAUUACAUAGGGCCUAAACAUGUGUAACAUGUAGAUCGGAUUGUGCAUAACACACAUACAUUGUUAUUGUGUAUUCCCUUUGUUGAUGGAUAAAUAUAGGUUGAGUUGUUUCCUGUAAAUUGCUUGUGUUGUGUUGAUCAUUAGCUUGUGUUCUUUGUCGCCAAAAUUGGUAAGAGGUGUGGGGAAAACCUCUAGGUGUGUGAAACACUUAGACUCUAGGCAAACACGAGUGGCUUAGAAAGAUGGUUGAGUCUAGUAACGGGACUAGACGCCCGCGCUGGGAUUAAAAUUGUGAUGAAAAUUUUAUCGUGACAGAGAGUGCUCACCUUCACUAGGUAUUAGCCUCCCCUGUGGAAAGUUGUAGUGUUUGAAGAAGGGAUGUUUGUUGAUAAGCUAUUCCCCUAAUGAGACCCUGAGUUCAUUAAACUGUAAUAUGUUGCAUUUAAUAGUUUGGGGCAAAAUUAUAUUAACCCUGAUUAUUUUUUAAGUGUAUAAUAUGUUGCAUUUGGGGCAAAAUUAAUAGUUUUAAAUGCGUUUAUUACUUAAAUGCUAUUGAGAAGCACUUACAGGGUCCUUUGCUGGCCAGAAACUGCCUUCCAUUGUGGUGUUCACGGCAGAGCAUUAGGGGCUGUCUGAUGGUGGGGCACAAGUCCAUUGACGAUUUUCUUCUUCACCUUUUUUUUUUUUUUUCUUCAUCUUCUUUUCUUUCUCCUCUCCUCAAAUACAAAAGUUUCCUUUUAUUUUUUUAAACAAUUUAAUUUUUUUUUUAUUGUUAUUUUUUUUAUCUUUUAUAAAUUUUUUUCUUUAAUUUUUUCUUUAAUUAUUUGAUUUUAUUUAAUUUUUACAUCAAAAUUUAUCCUUAUUCUUUUAAUUACUAUUUUUUUCUAAUUGAAUUUUUUUUUUAAAUUACAUCCAUCAACAUUUGAUUUCCAUUUAUUUUAAUGUCAAAUUCAAUUAAUUUUUUUUAUUACUAUUUGUUUUAUUUUAUAUCAUUUUUUAGUUGCCAUUUUUUUUAAAUUUUAUCUCUCAUUAUUUUGUGAAGAAGAAUUUAACUUCAUUAUUUUUUAGGGUUUAUCUUCUAUGAAAUUUGUCUUAACUCUUGAGCUCAUGACUAAGAUCACGAGUUUCAAAUAUUAACACAGAAUUACUCUCUAUUGUUACUCUCUAUUGUUCCGACCGGAUCGGGUCCGAUCCAAAGCUAAAUGCAUUGAACUGGGUCUGAUCCAGUUAAAAAAAAUUAAUUUUUAUUUUUAUUUUUAAUUGUGUUUUAUUCAAAAAAUUAGAAGGAGAUCGCUUGAUGACGUAACAUUUGCAGAAUUUGAUCGCAAUCUCAAUUUUGUUCCUGAUGUUGUUGCGCGCUUAAGAAAUCAAGAAAACUGUAGUCCUUGUCGGAUGUAUUUCGUACGUGAUGGAAUUGUAGAUAUUUUAAGGAAACAAUAAAAAAUAUUUUAUAUAAGUAUUACUUAUUUCAUGAUAUAAUAUCAAUAGUUAAACUUACAAUAUUUAAAUUAAAAACCAUCAAUAUAUAUAUAUAUAUAAUUAUUUUAUAACCCUAAUUUAAAAAAUAUUAUUUUAACUAAACAAAUUAAAUUAAUUUUUAUUAACAAAAUAAUUUUUUUUCAAACUAAAAGUUACCGCAAUAACAUAAUCACUCUAAACUAUCACUUUCACCACUCAGAAUAUUUGUCAUCUAAAACACUGAGCUGGAGCUAUUGGAGGAAGGAGAGAAAAGAAAUAAAGUCUCCAGCUGAAUGAUCACAUCAUCACGUGAAAAGCUUGGCAUUUUAAAAAAUGGAAUCUCGAGGUAAAUAAAUCAAAGACAAACCGAGUAAAAUGGAGUCCAGAGCUUAACAUGUUACCAGUUACAGAGCCGAGAGAGAAACUUUUUGCGAGUUCUUUACACUAAACUUUUUUGCAAUAUUGUUUUAACGGGUUAGUAUUAAAAAUAAUAUUUUUUUUUUAAAAAUAUUAUUUUAAUAUAUUUAUAAAAAAAUAUUUUAAAAAUCAACCACUAAUACACUAUUAAACACCCCUAAAUAUUUUAUAAAUUCUUCAUAGUAGCUUUUACAUUUCUUUAGAUCUCAUUUGACAAUGCUUUACACCACAAUAAAAAAAAAAUCAUGUUUUAUGUUUUUAUUGGCAAAAUGUAACUGCAACCGCAUUAAAGUUCGCUGUUGCUGCAUUAUUAAAGGUAAAUGUCUUGCAUGGAUUGACUACCAGUCAUAUUUUUUUUCCUUUGUUUUUUUGUAAGUUACUAAAUUUAUAAUGGUAUCAUUUUAAGAGAUUUUUUUUAAAAUACAACUAUAUUAAAAAAAUUUAUAAUUAUUUUUUAUUUCAGCAUAUCAAAAUAAUAUAAAAACAUCCAAAAAUUAUUAUUUUAAAGCAAAAAUAAAAUUAAAAAAUUUCAAAGUUUUUCAAAAGAGUUUCUGAAACGCAAAAAUCCAUAAAACUCAAUUAACAAAAGAAGGUAAAAACUGAUGCACAAAAACUACAUUUCACACUCAAUUUUUUAAUGGCCCCGUAAUAUAAAACACAUUUGGUUUGUUACCAAACAUUCUGUUACGUUUGUUUCACCGUAAACGUAAAAGCCAGCGAGAAACAGACGCAACUUUAAGUCUUAUUUGUUUGCUGAAAGUAGUUUCCUUUUGAAAAAUGGUUUUCUUGGAAAGUGGAUUUCUAAAAAGUGAAUUAUUUUUUGUUUGGUAGUGUAAUGAAAAAUAAAUUGAAAAACAUCUAGUGUUUGGUUAUGUCAUGGAAAAUGAGGUAGAAAAGAUCUUAUUAAUAUUUUUUUUCAAGUUUAUUAAAAUAAUAAAGAAUAAAUCUUACAAAUUAAAAAGGUGAAUGAGAAUGAAAUUGAAAAAAAAUUCUAAUUUCAUAAAUUAUCUCAAAUAAAAUAAAUAACAAUUAAAAUAAUGGAGAUCAAAUUUAAAAGAUAAAAAAUUGAAAGAUGAUGAAAUUAAAAUAAUAGUACUUACAAUUUCAUAAAUUAUUACAAAUAAAAUAAGUAACAACCAAAAAAAUGAGGAUCAAAUUUGAUAGAUAAAAAAUUUCAAUUAAAAAAAUAAUAGGAGAAAAGCAAAUAACAAUCAUAAAAAUAAACACCAAAGUUAAUAUAAAAAUCAAAUUUAAUCAAAUUCUAAGGAGUGAAAUUGAAGAAAAAAAAUUCAAAACAAAAUAUAUAGCAAUCAAAAGUUUAAGGACCAAAUUUGUUAUAAUUAGCAAAUAAUAUGAUGUUUUUAAUUUUUUCACAACUUUUGAAAAGUGUUUUAUGCCCGAAAAAAAGGAAAAAACUUUCCUGGAAACUAAACCAAAUUUUUCUUUGACCAGAAAAUAUUUGUGGUUGAUUAAUUUUUCUAAUAACAUAUAAAUACAAAAAAGUUCAAAAAAUAAUUUUAAAAAAACCACUUUCCACCAAAUAAACAAACAAAGCAUUAAUAAUACUACUUUUUGUAUAGUCUUAAUAGUAGGAACCUCUUAUUUGAACUCUAGGCGUUUAUUUUUUGAAAAGUGAUUUCCGGAAAAUCACUUUUUCAAAUUUUUUUGUGGUUGGUUGCCAUUAGAAAAGUUGAUCAACAGAAAAAACUUUACAGUCAAAAGAAAAUUUGGCUUGAUUUUCAUAAAAGUGUUUUCCUUUUAUUUUGAGCGGAAAACACUUUCCGGAAGUUGUGAAAAAUUUAGAAAUGUCAUAUUAUUUGCUGAUUAUAUCAAAUCUGGUACUCAAACUUGUGAUUGCUAUAUAUAUCUUGUUUUGAAUAUUUAUUUUUCAGUUUCAUCCCUUCCAAUUUAAUUUUUAUUUUAACUUUGAUCCUUAUUUUUAUAAUUGUUAUUUGCUUUUCCUUUAUCAUUUUUUAAUUGAAAAUUUUUAUCUAUCAAAUUUGAUCUUCAUUCUUUUGAUUGUUACUUAUUUUAUUUGAAAUAAUUUAUGAAAUGGUAAUUAUUAUCAUUUUAAUUUCUUCAUUUUUUUUUAAAGAUUUGAUCUCUAUUAUUUAUUUUAUUUGAGAUAAUUUAUGAAAUUAUAUUUUUUUUCAAUUUCAUUCUCAUUUAACUUUUUAAUUUGUAAGAUUAGUUUCUCGUUAUAUUAAUAAAUUUUUAAAAAUAAAACAUUAAUAAGUUCAUUAUCAUUUUCUUUGACAUAACUAAACACUGAAAAAUAUUUUCCAACUUUUUUUUUAUUAUAUUACCAACAUCAAAAAAUAAUUCACUUUAUCAAAAUUUAUUUUUUACUUUUCAUCAAAUAAACUACAUCUCCCACUUUUAUGCAUCACCUGCUGUCUGUUUUUUAUUCUAAGUUUGCAUGUAAAGUGUUUUUAAAAUUUAUAAAAGAAGUUACUGUUUACAUUGCUGUAGCCCUCGAGUAUACAAAGAGAUAUUCCUGGGAAGUAGCUUUAUGCCACUUCCCUUGAAUAUCCAAGAAGAUGCAUAAUUUUUUUAAAAAAAACAUUAAAAAAAAACAUAAUAAUUUACGAUGGAAGUCCUCAUAAUCAAUGCAUAAAAUGUUUUUUUUUUUGUUAAAAAUAAUUUUUAAUAUCAUAUAUUAAAAUAAUUUUAAAAUAUAAAAAAAUUCAAUUUUUUAUUGAAAAACUAAAAGUGCUUCAUAAGAAAGAGCGAAGGCGAUAUUCAUUAUAACUUUACUUCCCCACCUCUCUCGCCUACGUGCAGCAACCACUACUAGAUGUUCAUGGCGUCUUCUUCUUCUUCGUCUAGACCUGGUUGGGAUUACGAUGUAUUUCUAAGUUUUAGAGGUGAAGAUACUCGCAAAAAUUUUACGGAUCAUCUUUUCACUGCUUUACAGAAAGCAAAAGUCCGUACAUUUCGAGAUGACGACGAACUUCGUAUAGGUGAAGAAAUCUCCUUACAACUCCCCAAAGCAAUACAAGAAUCCAAGAUUUCUAUAGUGGUUUUCUCCAAGGGCUAUGCUUCCUCCACUUGGUGUCUUGAUGAACUUGAAAAGAUUCUUGAUUGCAAACACACAACUGGUCAGAUUGUUAUACCUGUUUUCUAUGAUAUUGAUCCUUCUGAUAUUAGAAAACAGACGGGGAGUUUUGCUGAAGCCUUUGAUAAGCAUGAAGAACGUUUUAAGGAAGAAAUGGAGAAGGUCCAUAAGUGGAGAAAAGCUCUCGUGGAGGCUGCAGAUUUAUCUGGGCUGGAUCCUCACAGUAUCGCAAAUGGGUACUUCUUUUCUUUCCCUGUAUCAAUAGCAAAUGCUUAUAACUUUUACUCUUAUUAUGUUUUGUAUUUUAAAUUUGCAUUAAAUUCAAAAGAUUUAUCUUUCAUCGAUGAGUGAUGACUUUUUUUUUCUAUGCGCAGGCAUGAAUCAAAAUUAAUUCAAAAGAUUGUCGAAGUAGUUUCAAGUAAAUUGAAUCCCAGAUUUUUGUCUGACGAUAGGCCGCUGAAGAGGUUGAAGACAACAAUGAUAUCUGGUGGUGGGCUGCUUGACGAUGCUGAGGAGAAGCAGAUAACAAAUACAUUUGUGCGGGAUUGGCUGGCCGAGUAUAAAGACGCUGUCUAUGAGGCCGAAGACUUCUUGGAUGAGAUUGCUUAUGAAGCUGAAGCUCAAACCUUCAUUAACCCACCUGGAAUAAUGGGGUUGAGAGAGAUAGAAGAAAAAUCAAGAGGCCUCCAGGAGAGUCUAGAUUACUUAGUAAAACAAAAGGAUGCCCUUGGUUUGAUCAACCGCACUGGAAAAGAACCAUCAUCAACUAAAAGACCAACAACUUCUCUGGUGGAUGAACGUCGUGUUUAUGGUAGAGAUUAUGACAGGGAAGCAAUACUGAAGUUGCUUGUAUCAGAUGAUGCAAAUGGAGAAAACCCAGGUGUUGUUCGCAUAGUGGGCAUGGGCGGGGUUGGUAAAACCACGCUUGCUCAGCUUGUGUACAAUCACAGCGAAGUACAGAGGUGCUUCAAUCUCAAAGCUUGGGUUUGUGUUUCAGAAGAUUUCAGUGUUUCAAAGUUAACCAAGGUUAUCCUUGAGGAGGUCGGCUCAAAGUCUGAUUCUGGGAGUCUGAAUCAGCUCCAGAUUCAGUUGAAGGAGAGGUUUCGGGAAAAUAAAUUUUUGCUUGUUUUAGAUGAUGUAUGGGAAGAAAAUUAUGCUGAAUGGGACACGUUGCUUACACCCUUGAAAUCUGGAGCACAAGGGAGUAAGAUUCUUGUGACAACACGCAAUGAAAGGGUAGCAUCAGUCAUGUCAACUGUUCAAACUCGUCACCUAAAAGAAUUGACGGAAGACAGCUGCUGGUUCUUGUUUGCCAAACAUGCAUUCGGUGAUGAAAAUCCCAUUGCGCAAGAAGAGUUAAAAAAAAUUGGUAGAGCAAUAACGAAAAAGUGUAAAGGCCUGCCUCUAGCUGCAAAAUCACUCGGAGGUCUGCUAUGCAACGAAAGAGAAGUCGAGGAGUGGCGGGAUAUUUUGGAAAGCAAUCUAUGGGAUUUACCCAAAGACAAUAUCCUCCCAGCUUUGAGAUUAAGUUAUCUUUAUCUCGUGCCACAUCUGAAGCAAUGUUUUGCUUAUUGUGCCAUAUUUCCAAAAGACUAUUCAUUUCGAAAGGAUGAAUUAGUGCUCCUGUGGAUGGCAGAGGGCUUCUUGGUCCGCUCUGCAGUAGAUGAUGAGAUGGAAAAAGCAGGUGCUAAGUGCUUUGAUGAUCUCUUGUCAAGGUCGUUUUUCCAGCAAUCAAGUGCCUCUCGCUCAUCAUUUGUGAUGCACGAUCUCAUGCAUGACUUGGCUACACAUGUGUCCGGUCAAUUUUGCUUCAGCUCCAGUUUGAGGGGAAAUAAUUCUUCCAAGGCCACCAGAAGGACUCGACAUUUAUCACUCGCAGUAGAUACGGAAGACACGGAUGGUGAAGAUACCGAAGAUGGAGAUACGGAAGGUGUUUUUUCAAGCACAAUAUUAGAAAACAUCCGUGAAGCCCAACAUCUACGCACAUUCCGAACUUCUCUAGACAAUCAGAUGUGUCCUCCCGAAUUUGAUAAGAUCUUUCAGUCAACACAUUGUCGCCUACGAGUGAUAUCGUUGUCUAAUUGUGCCGGUGUAGCUAAGAUGCUUUGUUCAAUUAGCAAGUUGAAGCAUUUGCGGUAUUUGGAUCUUUCCUGGUCAGAUUUAGUAACGUUGCCUGAAGAAGUGAGUGCUCUUCUCAAUUUGCAAACGUUGAUCUUGAAAAGGUGCCAACAACUUGCUAGUCUACCUGAUCUUGGAAAUUUGAAGUAUUUACGACAUCUGAAUCUUGAAGCAACAAGAAUAGAAAGGUUGCCUGAAUCUCUGGAAAGGUUAAUCAACUUGCGGUAUCUUAACAUCAAAUACACGCCUUUGAAAGAGAUGCCACAAUAUAUAGGUCAACUGGCAAAGCUCCAAACGUUGACUGACUUUCUCGUGGGAAGACAGAGUGAGACUAGCAUUAAAGAAUUGGGAAAGCUACGACAUCUACGGGGAGAACUUCAUAUUGGGAACCUUCAAAAUGUGGUGGAUGCUCGGGAUGCUGUUGAGGCAAAUUUGAAAGGUAGAGAGCACCUUGAUGAGCUGAGGUUUACAUGGGAUGGUGACACUCAUGACCCGCAACACGUGACAAGCACACUUGAGAAAUUAGAGCCAAAUAGAAAUGUG